UAAUACAGAGGGUGCGAGCGUUAAUCGGAAUUACUGGGCGUAAAGCGUGCGUAGACGGUUUCGUAAGUCGGGUGUGAAAUCCCCGGGCUCAACCUGGGAAUUGCAUUCGAAACUGCGAGGCUAGGGUACGGAAGAGGGAAGCGGAAUUUCUGGUGUAGCGGUGAAAUGCGUAGAUAUCAGAAGGAACAUCAGUGGCGAAAGCGGCUUCCUGGUCCAGUACCGACGUUCAGGCACGAAAGCGUGGGGAGCAAACAGGAUUAGAUACCCUGGUAGUCCACGCCUUAAACGAUGAGAACUAGACGUUGAGAGGGUUAGCCUCCCAGUGUCGCAGCUAACGCGCUAAGUUCUCCGCCUGGGGAGUACGGCCGCAAGGUUG
rnacentral:rRNA from 1 species